rnacentral:rRNA from 1 species
CCUUCGGGUUGUAAACCCCUUUUCUCAGGGAAGAAUAAUGACGGUACCUGGGGAAUAAGUCUUGGCUAACUACGUGCCAGCAGCCGCGGUAAUACGUAGGAGGCGAGCGUUAUCCGGAUUUAUUGGGCGUAAAGAGGGCGUAGGCGGCUUUUCAAGUCGGAUGUAAAAUCUCCCGGCUCAACUGGGAGGCACCGUCCGAUACUGUUGGGCUAGAGGGCAGCAGAGGGAGGUGGAAUUCCCGGUGUAGUGGUGAAAUGCGUAGAUGUCGGGAGGAACACCAGUGGCGAAGGCGGCCUCCUGGGCUGUUUCUGACGCUGAGGCCCGUAAGUGUGGGGAGCAAACAGGAUUAGAUACCCUGGUAGUCCACACUGUAAAUGAUGGACACUAGGUAUGGGGAGUAUCGACCCUCUCCGUGCCGAAGCUAACGCCUUAAGUGUCCCGCCUGGGGAGUACGGCCGCAAGGCUAAAACUCAAAGGAAUUGACGGGGGCCCGCACAAGCAGCGGAGCGUGUGGUUUAAUUCGAUGCAACGCGAAGAACCUUACCAAGGCUU